AGCGAACGCUGGCGGCAGGCUUAACACAUGCAAGUCGAGCGGGCGUAGCAAUACGUCAGCGGCAGACGGGUGAGUAACGCGUGGGAACAUACCUUUUGGUUCGGAACAACACAGGGAAACGUUGUGCUAAUACCGGAUAAGCCCUUACGGGAAGGAUUAUCGCCGAAGAUUGGCCCGCGUCUGAUUAGCUAGUUGGUGAGGUAAUGGCUCACCAAGGCGACGAUCAGUAGCNGGUCUGAGAGGAUGAUCAGCCACAUUGGGACUGAGACACGGCCCAAACUCCUACGGGAGGCAGCAGUGGGGAAUAUUGGACAAUGGGCGCAAGCCUGAUCCAGCCAUGCCGCGUGAGUGAUGAAGGCCC
rnacentral:rRNA from 1 species